GGGGGGGGGGGGGGGGGGGGCGAGCGCAUGGGGGGGGGGCGCGCGGGGGCGGGCUGGCUUGCGCGAGCGAGGGGCGAACGGGUGAGGAACGCGGGAGGGACAUGACUCAGAGAGGGGGACAACAGUUGGAAACGACGGCUAAUACCGCAUAAGCCCACGACCCGGCAUCGGGUAGAGGGAAAAUGAGCAAUCCGCUGUGAGAUGGCCUCGCGUCCGAUUAGCUAGUUGGUGAGGUAACGGCCCACCAAGGCGACGAUCGGUAGCCGGACUGAGAGGUUGAACGGCCACAUUGGGACUGAGACACGGCCCAGACUCCUACGGGAGGCAGCAGUGGGGAAUAUUGCACAAUGGGGGAAACCCUGAUGCAGCGACGCCGCGUGGAGGAAGAAGGUCUUCGGAUUGUAAACUCCUGUUGUUGAGGAAGAUAAUGACGGUACUCAACAAGGAAGUGACGGCUAACUACGUG
rnacentral:rRNA from 1 species